UACAGAGGUCUCAAGCGUUGUUCGGAUUCAUUGGGCGUAAAGGGUGCGUAGGUGGCGCCGUAAGUCAGGUGUGAAAUUUCGGAGCUUAACUCCGAAACUGCAUUUGAUACUGCGGUGCUUGAGGACUGGAGAGGAGACUGGAAUUUACGGUGUAGCAGUGAAAUGCGUAGAGAUCGUAAGGAAGACCAGUGGCGAAGGCGGCUACCUGGACAAUUGCUGACGCUCAGGCACGAAAGCGUGGGGAGCAAAAGGG
rnacentral:rRNA from 1 species